rnacentral:rRNA from 1 species
AGAUUUGAUUUAAUUUUUAUUUCCUUCCUUUUGAAUACACUCCCUAAAAUAACCUUUUAGGGAAUCAAGUGUUUCAAAUCGUUUACUGUGAAGAAAUUAGAGUGUUCAAAGCAGGCGUAACCUAGCCUUUGAAUAUAUUAGCAUGGGAUAAUGAAAUAGGACUUUAGUUCUACUUUCGUUGGUUUCUAGGGCUGAAGUAAUGAUUAAUAGGGAUAGUUGGGGUCACUAGUAUUUAAUUGUCAGAGGUGAAAUUCUAAGAUUUAUUAAAGACUAACUACUGCGAAAGCAUUUGACAAGGAUGUUUUCAUUAAUCAAGAACGAAAGUUGGGGGAUCGAAGAUGAUCAGAUACCGUCGUAGUCUCAACCAUAAACUAUGCCGACCAAGGAUCCGGGGUUGUUAAUAUGGAUGACUCUCCGGGCACUUAUAGAGAAAUCAUAAGUAUUUGGGCUCCGGGGGGAGUAUGGUCGCAAGGCUGAAACUUAAAGGAAUUGACGGAAGGGCACCACAAGGAGUGGAACCUGCGGUUUAAUUUGACUCAACACGGGAAAACUUACCAGGUCCAGACACAGUGAGGAUUGACAGAUUGAGAGUUCUUUCUUGAUUCUGUGAGUGGUGGUGCAUGGCCGUUUCUAGUUGGUGGAGUGAUUUGUCUGGUUAAUUCCGUUAACGAACGAGACCUUAACCUAUUAAAUAGUUACUUGAACUUGAUUUCUCGUAAAUCAAAUGUUCAAUUAACUUCUUAGAGGGACUCUUCAC